UACGGAGGGGGCUAGCGUUGUUCGGAAUCACUGGGCGUAAAGCGCACGUAGGCGGCUUUGUAAGUUAGAGGUGAAAGCCCGGAGCUCAACUCCGGAAUUGCCUUUAAGACUGCAUCGCUCGAAUCAUGGAGAGGUGAGUGGAAUUCCGAGUGUAGAGGUGAAAUUCGUAGAUAUUCGGAAGAACACCAGUGGCGAAGGCGACUCACUGGACAUGUAUUGACGCUGAGGUGCGAAAGCGUGGGGAGCAAACAGG
rnacentral:rRNA from 1 species